AAUUGGAUUGAGAACAACGUACAAACCUUAUCGAUAAACAAUUGGAGGGCAAGUCUGGUGCCAGCAGCCGCGGUAAUUCCAGCUCCAAUAGCGUAUAUUAACGUUGUUGCAGUUAAAAAGCUCGUAGUUGAAAUGAAGGGUAGUUGUGUAAUGAAUACAUUCGUGUAUUUUGUUAUUCUACUACCCUCCUUCUAAAUUCGAUAUAUGAGUAUUAAUUUACUUGUAUAUGGUUUUAGACGUUUACUGUGAGAAAAUUAGAGUGUUCAAAGCAGGCAUUUGCUUGAAUAUAUUAGCAUGGAAUAAUCAUGUAUGAUUUUCAUGAUGUAUUUGAUUGGUUUGGUUCAUGAGAAUAAGAUUAAAAGGGACAGUUGGGGGUAUUCAUAUUCAAUAGUCAGAGGUGAAAUUCUCGGAUUUAUGGAAGAUGAACAAGUGCGAAAGCAUUUACCAAGGAUGUUUUCAUUAAUCAAGAACGAAAGUUAGGGGAUCGAAGAUGAUCAGAUACCGUCGUAGUCUUAACCAUAAACUAUGCCGACUAGGGAUCGGGUGGUGUUUUUUUAAUGACCCACUCGGCACCUUACGAGAAAUCAAAGUCUUUGGGUUCUGGGGGGAAUAUGGUCGCAAGGCUGAAACUUAAAGGAAUUGACGGAAGGGCACCACCAGGAGUGGAGCCUGCGGCUUAAUUUGACUCAACACGGGGAAACUCACCAGGUCCAGACACAAUAAGGAUUGACAGAUUGAGAGCUCUUUCUUGAUUUUGUGGGUGGUGGUGCAUGGCCGUUCUUAGUUGGUGGAUUGAUUUGUCAGGCUAAUUCCGAUAACGAACGAGACCUCCGCCUGCUAAAUGGUUUUCUAUAGUAUUCUAUAGGAAUCCUCUUAGAGGGACACUAUACAUAAAGUAUAGGGAAGCUGGAGGCAAUAACAGGUCUGUGAUGCCCUUAGAUGUCCUGGGCUGCACGCGCGCGACACUGAUUCAUUCAACAAGUGGCUGAAUCGAUAGAUUUGGCAAAUCUUUUGAAAAUGAAUCGUGAUGGGGAUUGAUGUCUGUAAUAAACGUCAUGAACGAGGAAUUCCUAGUAAAUGCAAGUCAUCAACUUGCGUUGAUUACGUCCCUGCCCUUUGUACACACCGCCCGUCGCACCUACCGAUUGAAUGGUCCGAUGAACACUUUGGAUUUUAGUAAUGUCAGUCUUAACGGAUUGAUGAUUAUUGAGAGAAGUUGUGUAAAUCUUACCA
rnacentral:rRNA from 1 species